rnacentral:lncRNA from 10 species
AAAAUGUCCCCUUGGGCCAGUUUUAAAUUAGGCCCAUGCAACAAAAAUGCACAUUUCAGAUACGGAUUUCAGAUUGUUUUGUUAAUAAUUGUCCUUAUUUGCAUAGUUUUUGCUUUUUGAGACAGGGUCUCACUCUGUUGCCCAGGCUGGAGGGCAGUGACACAAUCUUGGCUCACUGCAACCUACACCUCCCAGGCUCAAGUGAUCAUCUGACCUCAGCUUCCCUAGUAGCUGGGGCUAUAGGCGCAUACUACCACACCCACCUGCCAUUACACCUGGCUAAUUUUUUAUAUUUUUUGUAGAGACAGGGUUUCUCCAUGUUACCGAGCUGGUCUCCUGGACUCAAGCGAUCUGCCCGCAUCGGCCUCCCAAAGUGCUGGGAUUAUAGGCAUGAGCCACUGUACCCAGGCCGUAUUUUUUAUUCUUAAAUUGAUUAUGCUUUAUAUUUCUAGAUGUCUAAAGUCAACAACAAAAAACUAAAAGAUUAAAUUGAUAUCUCAGCAUUUUAACUUACUUA